rnacentral:rRNA from 1 species
AACGAACGCUGGCGGCAGGCUUAACACAUGCAAGUCGAACGCCCCGCAAGGGGAGUGGCAGACGGGUGAGUAACGCGUGGGAACGUGCCCUUCGCUUCGGAAUAGCCCCGGGAAACUGGGAGUAAUACCGAAUACGCCGUAUUGGGAAAGAUUUAUCGGCGAAGGAUCGGCCCGCGUUAGAUUAGCUAGUUGGCGGUGUAAUGGACCACCAAGGCUACGAUCUAUAGCUGGUCUGAGAGGAUGAUCAGCCACACUGGGACUGAGACACGGCCCAGACUCCUACGGGAGGCAGCAGUGGGGAAUCUUGGACAAUGGGCGCAAGCCUGAUCCAGCCAUGCCGCGUGAGUGAAGAAGGCCUUAGGGUUGUAAAACUCUUUCGCCGGAGAAGAUAAUGACGGUAUCCGGAGAAGAAGCCCCGGCUAACUUCGUGCCAGCAGCCGCCGCAGUAA